UCACACGAGCAAUGUGUCAGACUCCCCUGACUGCCAGCCAGCCUGACUGCCUGCUAUAGGGCCUCCCAAGCGUCAUUACGUCACGUGACAUGCCUGCCUCGGAAAGGCUCUGCUGCUGCUGCUGCUGCACAUCCGGAAGGAGCCGGGGAUCUGAUUGUAGAAUUGUGGUGGCGCAAGGUUUAAAUGGCUGAAAGGCGCAGUUCUACUCAAGAAAGGGUUUAAAAGAGUUAUUUUAGAUACAUGGAGGUUUUACGUCCCACCCUAAUUAAUAUUGGAGGGAGGAUAUACAGAAAAAAUGCAGUUCGAGAAGCAUCUCAUCAAAACGAGGAAGACGAGGAGGAUUUCUACAGAGAAUCUGUGCAGUGUUUGGACGAGCCUUGUGAUGACUUCACGGUGGAAGAGACUGAGAAAGGCUUUCAGUGUACAAUAGAUCUUCCCAGUCAACUUUUCAAAUACAUUAUUGGUAAGAAAGGAGAAACCAAGAGAAAUCUGGAAUCUGAAACCCGUACCUCUAUCAUCAUUCCCAGGCCUGGUGUAGAAGGAGACAUUAUAAUUACAGGGCAGCAACGCAAUGGAGUCAUUUCUGCCAGAACACGAAUUGAACUGCUGGCUGAAAGUUUUAGGAGAAAGCAACCAUUCACCCACUUCCUGUCCUUUGCUCUUAACCAUCCUGAAAUCCAAGAAAAAGUCCUGCUCUUUAAAGAGGAAGUUUUGGCCAAAUGUUCAAAGGAUCGUGGGGUAGAAAGUAGCAUUUUCCAAAAUCCAGCAAAGCUUCACUUGACCAUUGGGACAAUGGUGCUACUGAGUGAGAAGGAGGUGAUGCAGGCAAAUGAAAUACUUCAAAAAUGCAAGGAGGAAUUUCUGGACAAAAUAACAGGUGGGAAAUCCCUCCAGCUGCAAGUUGUAGGAAUAGAGUACAUGAAUGAUGAUCCAGCAAUGGUUGAUGUUCUGUAUGCAAAGGUCGAGAUGAAGGAUGGAUCAGAAAGAUUGCAGCUAAUAGCCGACCGCCUGAUGCAAAGAUUUGUUAGCUCGGGGCUGAUGUUAAAAGAAUGGGAUAGGGUAAAACUUCAUGCGACUGUCAUGAAUACGCUUUUUCGAAGAGAUCCAUUAGCUGAAGAGAGAAGUAGCAUAUCUGCUGGAAAGCCAGGCCAGAGGGAGAGAGAAUCCUUUGAUGCGAGAAAUGUGUUAAAGGGGACAGUUGCUGAGCUCCUCAGAAUUGCUUGCCAGAGAGGGAAUAUACUAGCCACAAGUACCAGGAAAUAGGUUCAUGCUGUAUGCAAGUACCAAUAACAUGCAGUGCAGUUUUCUGCUAAUAGGAGCACUGGUCCAGCUUAUUAUAUUUUCGGCAAUUUCUGUUUUGGAGAUCUCAGUAUGGAUACAGUCCAUCUCUCACAAAGGUUUUCAGCUGACAGUUCUGGUUACUAUGCAUCAUCUGGUCAUGUCUCCUUGUCCUAAGGAUCCGGCAUCUGCCAGCCAUGUGGAAUCUUUCAGCAUCAUCAUUAUAAAUUCUAUUUCAUUGAAAUACAGUUUUCUGGUGGGAUAAUAUUUAAAGGGGACCUGUCACCCACACAUAAAAAGCUGUAUAAUAAAAGUCCUUUGCUAA